GAUUAGAUACCCUAGUAUAGGUUAAGAUAUUAUAAUAAAUAAGUUUUGAAAAUUAAUAAAUUUGGCGGUUGAAGAAAGAUUUAGAGGAGCUUGUUUUAUGAGAAUUUACUCUUUAUAUUUAAUUAAGAUAAGGUUUAUUCAUCUCCGUUAUUAAAUAUAAUUGAUAAUAAAUUAUUUUAUUAUAUCAGGUCAAGAUGUAGCAAAUGAUAAAUUGGAUUAGCUACAAUUUAAUAUAAAUGGAUCUUUGAAAGUAUUUAUAGAGUAAAAUGAAUUUAAUAGUAAUUUAUAAAUUAGAAUGUUAUAAUGGAUUAUAUUUUUUAAUGUACAUAUUGCCCGUCAUUUCUUAAUUUAGAAUAAGUCGUAACAAAGUA
rnacentral:rRNA from 1 species